CGAUUAUGCGGAAAUGAAAUUGAAUGUUACUUCGAACACGUUCUUCUACAAAAUAACCCACCUGUAUUUAGUGCUAUUGCUUUAACAUCAAUCGAAGCAAAAAUGGCAUCAAUGUAUGCGUCUAAAAAUGUUAAAUUUAGAUGGAGACAAUCCAGAAAUGAGCUCCAAGGAAGUGAUCGAUUUCGGACACGAAGAUUGAGAAGUGCCUGGAUACAAGGCUAGUAUUGUUAACAUCAUCUGAUACAAUCAACUGGAACAAAGCUGAAAUGGCUGCCUGACCUGACUUAAAAAUUGGAUGGCAGUACAUCAGACUAGAAGAUUACAAGUAUUGAGGUGGACAAAAUGAAACCUGAGCCUACAAAAGCUGACAGAUUGCACAAGAAACACAUAAAUGCAGAUUGGAAGAUUCAUUCUCUGGAAAGUAGAAAAGGGCAUGUUAUUACAUACUGUUAUCACUGCCAUGACAGAAACCAUAUUGAGGAGCUGGUCCACCUGUAGGAAGAAUUGCACUAUUGGUUGGAGCAGCACUAUUACCCAGCCAUACACCAGCACUUAGUUUGUCAUAGGGAGCAUUUCUGAGCAGUUAUGGA